GUCUGCAGCUGUCUGUCUGCACUGUCUGUCUGCAGCUGUCUGUCUGCAGUGUCUGUCUGCAGCUGUCUGUCUGCACUGUCUGUCUGCAGUGUCUGUCUGCAGCUGUCUGUCUGCAGUGUCUGUCUGCAGCUGUCUGUCUGCAGUGUCUGCGGAUCUAACCCUCCUCUGAGCCUGUGCGGACACCGGAAGCAGCUUUCUCU